GACAGGUGCUGCAUGGCUGUCGUCAGCUCGUGUCGUGAGAUGUUGGGUUAAGUCCCGCAACGAGCGCAACCCUCAUCCCUAGUUGCCAUCAUUUAGUUGGGCACUCUAUGGAAACUGCCGGUGAUAAGCCGGAGGAAGGUGGGGAUGACGUCAAGUCCUCAUGGCCCUUACACGCUGGGCUACACACGUGCUACAAUGGCAACUACAGUGGGCAGCAACCUCGCGAGGGGUAGCUAAUCUCCAAAAGUUGUCUCAGUUCGGAUUGUUCUCUGCAACUCGAGAGCAUGAAGGCGGAAUCGCUAGUAAUCGCGGAUCAGCAUGCCGCGGUGAAUACGUUCCCAGGCCUUGUACACACCGCCCGUCACACCAUGGGAGUUGGUUUCACCCGAAGGCAGUGCUCUAACCCGCAAGGGAGGAAGCUGACCGAGAGUGGGAUCAGCGACUGGGGUG
rnacentral:rRNA from 1 species